UGGGGCGUGGCCAAGCGGUAAGGCAAGGGACUUUGGAUCCCUUACUCGGAGGUUCGAGUCCUCCCGCCCCAGCCA
rnacentral:tRNA from 1 species